AAAUAAAUAUAAUUUGCUGUUUGUAAAUCAAUCUGGUUUUAGAUGUAGGCACUCUACUGAAACUGCAUGCCAGUUAGUAUGUAACACAUGGACGAAAGAUAUAGAUGACGGUAAAAUAGUAAUUAGUGUCUUUGUAGAUU
rnacentral:lncRNA from 1 species